AUUAAAAAAGAAAUCACAACCACCAGUAACCAAAAAAAAGGCGUCUCACUUUGUACCACACAUUACCUGCUGUUAAAUCACACAAAUCUCAUGUUCUACUCCAAUUUACUUGGAAUCUAGAUUCUUCCACACUUGUUUACAUUUAAUUCCUAAAAAACCACCAAAAACUUGAUGCAUUCAUGUCAAAACAACUCCACUAUGUUGCGUAAAAAUCCACUGUUACUCUUUUUCCCUUGUCAAGGUCUUCGUAGAAAUGCAAAAUUCCGAUGUGUUCUCCAUCAUAUUGUGCCCAAAUUCGCUGUUUCAUCUUCGCUAAGCUCCGUUUUGACUUCCGGCAACGCGAUUGCGGCGGUUAGCGGCGGUUCCGUUCACGGAGCGGUUUCAUCGGCGAUAACGCAAGUUGCCGUUACGGCGGUGGCGAUCGCAUCUGGAGCUUGCCUUUCUACUAAGGUUGAUUUUUUGUGGCCUAAAGUUGAUGAACAACCUGGAUCACUCUUAUUGGAUGGAGUAGAUGUCACCGGAUACCCCAUUUUCAAUGAUGAUAAGGUGCAGAAGGCUAUUGCUUUUGCACGAAAAGCUCACAAUGGACAGCUACGUAGAACUGGAGAGCCGUAUUUAACACAUUGUAUUCACACUGGAAAAAUUGUAGCUGUCUUGGUUCCAUCAACUGGGAAAAGGGCCAUCGAUACGGUUGUUGCUGGAAUUCUCCAUGAUGUGGUUGAUGAUACAGGUGAAAGUUUGGAUACUAUAGAGAGAGAGUUUGACACUGAUGUUGCAAAUUUGGUAGCAGGUGUUUCGAGGUUAAGUUUCAUCAAUCAGCUGUUAAGGAGGCAUCGCAGGUUAAAUGUGAAUCAAGCUGCACUUAGCCAUGAAGAGGCAAAUAAUUUACGAGUGAUGCUACUGGGCAUGGUUGAUGAUCCACGUGUGGUGCUUAUCAAACUAGCAGACCGUCUUCACAACAUGAGAACCAUAUAUGCAUUGCCUCCUGCCAAGGCUCAAGCUGUUGCUCAGGAGACACUGGCUAUUUGGUGCUCACUUGCUUCAAGAUUGGGGCUUUGGGCAUUAAAGGCUGAACUUGAAGAUCUAUGCUUUGCAGUGCUUCAGCCUCAAAUAUUUCUUCGCAUGAGAGCUGACCUAGCAUCCAUGUGGAGCCAUCCCAACAGGACAGGCAACACAAGAAAAAUAUAUGGCAAAGCCAGCUCCCUUUUGCACCAGAGAAUGAAAUGUGUGACUGAUGAGCAUGAAGAACCCUCAGAAACUGAUGAGCAAAACAUAUGCAUGAAGGUUCUUUUGCAAGCUGUACUUCCGUUUGAUCUUUUACUAGAUAGAAAGAAGCGUACAGACUUUUUCAACAAGCUUGUGGCAAAUUCAAGUUUGGAGACAACACCAAAGGUCGUCAGGGAUGCUGCUUUUGCCUUGGGAUCUCUGGUCAUUUGCGAGGAGGCUUUGGAGCGUGAAUUAUUCAUUUCUACCUCAUAUGUGCCUGGGAUGGAAGUCACAUUAUCUGGACGCUUAAAAAGCUUGUUUAGUAUUUACAGUAAGAUGAAAAGGAAAGAAAUUGGCAUAAACAAAGUGUACGAUGCCCGUGCAUUGAGGGUUAUUAUCGGAGAUAAGAAUGGGGCAUUACACAGCCAGGCAGUUCAAUGUUGCUAUAAUCUUCUCAACAUUGUGCACAGGCUAUGGUCCCCUAUUGAUGGAGAGUUUGAUGACUACAUUGUUAACCCAAAACCAAGUGGCUACCAGUCCCUACACACUGCAGUACAAGGCCCAGACAACUCACCUCUGGAAAUUCAAAUAAGAACCCAGAGGAUGCAUGAAUGUGCGGAACAUGGACUUGCUGCGCAUUGGCUUUAUAAAGAAACUGAAGAUAAGCUGCCCUUGGAAACCAGCGUAACUGGUUCUGGAACAACUACACCCUCAUAUUUGUCAACAGAUAUUGAAGAUCAAGGCUCUAUAGAAGAUGAUGGAUCACAUAAGUAUAGCUCGUUGAAAGUGGGACAUCCUGUCCUCAGAGUGGAAGCAGGUCACCUGCUUGCUGCAGUUAUUGUGAGAGUGGACAAGGGUGCAAGAGAAUUGCUUGUUGCUGUAAGCUUCGGUCUGGCAGCUUCUGAGGCAGUAGCUGAUAGAAAAUCUUCUUCUCAAACUAGAAGAUGGGAAGCUUAUGCAAGAUUAUAUAAGAAGGUAUCUGAUGAAUGGUGGUUCGAACCAGGACAUGGGGAUUGGUGCACUUGCCUGGAAAAGUAUACACUUUGUCAAGAUGGUAUGUACCACAAGCAAGACCAGUUUGGGCGCCUUCUGCCAACUUUCAUCCAAAUCAUUGAAUUGAUUGAGGAGGAAGAAAAUAAUUACUGGGCUAUCAUGUCUGCCGUCUUUGAGGGGAAACCUGUUGCUUCUGUUACAUCUAACCCAAGUUUUGAGAAUAAGCUGGGCUAUAACUCUUCUAAUUCAACAUUAAGGGACUCUGGCAUCAACAAUAAGGAGACAUAAUAAUGUCAUCAGUGACGAUGAAUGAAGUCAGCCACUAAACCGUGAAAUGGACGUUAGGCAUGUUUUUCUGAUCAAUGUCCAUCCAAUGUAUGGGAAGAAGCUAACCAAAGGGCAUCACUAGUUAUCCAGAAGUAUUUAUUGCUGGCACUGAUCAGUGGUCAGGACACCAAAAGUUGCAUGUGUGGGAAAUUCAUUUGCUUUCCCCUUAUUAUUUUGCUUUUUCCUAUUUUAUCACUUUGAGAGUAGAUGUUGUCACAAGAUAGUGUUUUGCUUCACGGUCAGCGAACGAUGUGGUGGUUGGGUAAGAAAAGGAGGGAAAAGCUAGAGGACGGAUUGAUUCGUCAAAGUAGUAGAUUAACUCGAUUGAUAAUACUUAAAAGCUGUUCUGUAAGGUCACUAAAGAUUGUAGAACAUGAACUUUAAAAGUACGGAAAAGAGAAGAUUGUAGAACAUGAAACAGUAACUUGAUAAGAAAGCAUUUGUGGGUCCUGUCUUUGUAUUUCUUUUCAGCCUCAGGUAUAUUUGCUGAGGACAAUGCUUCAAUGGGAGAAGCAACUGCGCUCUGAAGCAAGUCUUCAGCGAGUGGAGUAUGCUACAAAACCAUACGAAGCGAGCUCCGGUUUGCUAGGCGAGGUGGUCAUCGUAUGCUGGCCC